UCAGAUCUCCGGUGCGACGCCACCGUACCGAACUCCCCCAGGGUAGGAAUACAGCAAGGGUAGGUACGCUCUGACGGGUGCACCGGAGGUCCCAAAU
rnacentral:SRP_RNA from 1 species